rnacentral:rRNA from 1 species
CGAAGGCUUCGGCCUUAGUGGCGCACGGGUGCGUAACGCGUGGGAAUCUGCCCUUUGGUUCGGAAUAACAGCUGGAAACGGCUGCUAAUACCGGAUGAUGACGAGAGUCCAAAGAUUUAUCGCCAGAGGAUGAGCCCGCGUUGGAUUAGGUAGUUGGUGGGGUAAAGGCCUACCAAGCCGACGAUCCAUAGCUGGUCUGAGAGGAUGAUCAGCCACACUGGGACUGAGACACGGCCCAGACUCCUACGGGAGGCAGCAGUGGGGAAUAUUGGACAAUGGGCGAAAGCCUGAUCCAGCAAUGCCGCGUGAGUGAUGAAGGCCCUAGGGUUGUAAAGCUCUUUUACCCGGGAAGAUAAUGACUGUACCGGGAGAAUAAGCCCCGGCUAACUCCGUGCCAGCAGCCGCGGUAAUACGGAGGGGGCUAGCGUUGUUCGGAAUUACUGGGCGUAAAGCGCACGUAGGCGGCUUUGUAAGUCAGAGGUGAAAGCCUGGAGCUCAACUCCAGAACUGCCUUUGAGACUGCAUCGCUUGAAUCCAGGAGAGGUCAGUGGAAUUCCGAGUGUAG